GAUGAACGCUAGCGGCAGGCCUAACACAUGCAAGUCGAGGGGUAGAACACUUCGGUGUUUGAGACCGGCGCACGGGUGCGUAACGCGUAUGCAAUCUACCUUAUACAGGGGAAUAGCCCAGAGAAAUUUGGAUUAAUGCCCCAUAGUAUUAUUGAAUGGCAUCAUUUAAUAAUUAAAGUUCCAACGGUAUAAGAUGAGCAUGCGUCCCAUUAGUUAGUUGGUAAGGUAACGGCUUACCAAGACGAUGAUGGGUAGGGGUCCUGAGAGGGAGAGCCCCACACUGGUACUGAGACACGGACCAGACGCCUGCGGGAGGCAGCAGUGAGGAAUAUUGGUCAAUGGUCGCAAGACUGAACAAGCCAUGCCGCGUGCAGGAAGACGGUCCUAUGGAUUGUAAACUGCUUUUAUCCAGGAAGAAACCCUCCCACGUGUGGGGGCUUGACGGUACUGUAGGAAUAAGGAUCGGCUAACUCCGUGCCAGCAGCCGCCGUAAAAC
rnacentral:rRNA from 1 species